GUCGAUAACAACUCUACGUAAGCAUUAGAAUUUAAAUAGAAAUCAAUCAAAAUAGAAAUUUUGGCAACUUUUCUCACCUACAAAAUGUGUGACUGGACAAGUGUGUUCAAAACAGUUCAAAAUCCAACUUUCAAUGCAAAGAGCAAUAUAACCAGACCUUUUUUUCAGAAAAUUGUUUCCAGUAUCGGUGUUCUUUUGUGCGCCAUUUAUGUGCUUUAUGUGUGAGUGCUUAUGAUAAUUAGGCUGUGAACCAUUUCGCGAAAUUUUUAACUUUUUGAUUAAAAUUUGACAGUUCGAUGGUUUUUCGAAAAUAACACUGCUCGGGAGCAUGGUUAGUUUUCACGCUCGUUCCGCUUAGCUCUAAUUAGAAUAAAUCCUACUCAGUUUCGUCGUUUCAUUCAAGAUGUCAAAAAAUGAGUAGCUUAAAAUAAUAUUUUGAGUACAAUUUUACUCAAUUUCUUAAUUUCAUAAUUGGUUUAAUUUGAGUAACCGUGCAAGUGUGGUGAAAAAUAAACAAAGCUGAAGUGGCGUUAAAAAUAAAUGAAGAUUAAUUUUACAAAUUCAAAGAUCUUGACAUUGUUUUUAUUCUAUCAAAUAUCGCAGCAGGCUGCUACAGAGCGAUUGCCGUAUCUCAACUAUAUGCAGGACAUACGCAGGAAAGGAGUGAACCAGCAAUCCGCAAGUGAUGAGAAUGAUGGGCCGGUGGAACUGGUGGCCAAAUCGAAAGAUUACGUCGCUAAAUUCAACUUUCCGGGUCCGCGACUUUUGUUGUCUCCAUUCUUUGAUUGCACAGCUUAGAUGUAACUCUUAACAUUGUUGCACAAAAAUUUUUGUUUGUCGAUUCUGAGUUCGAUGUCGACUUAAGCAGUUGUGUGCAAAUGGUGUUGGCAAGGAAACUGCAGGCAAUUGUCUGGCAAGCAAGGAAAAAUCAUCUCAGGAUUCCGGUUCAAUCAGCAUUCCGGUGAACAUCUGACUACGAAGAGGGUCGUUUACCGUGCUCUCAACCAAAUAGUUUCAACGUAUGUUUAAUUUGCCUUACGCAAAACUAACGUCAAGCACUCCUAAGGUCCGGUUUAGCUAAUCAGGCUCACAUGAUUAAUCUGAAGGAGCUAUGUAUUUACCUGCGCGAAUUUUGCAGAGUAUGCUACCGAGCAAAUCCGCGAAAUGCCAGGGAAUCAAAAUGGCGAUUAAUAUUACGCCGCCAACGAGUCCCAAUGCAAGCCAAACCUGCACAUUUUUUAUACCUCUCGUGGGUGAAAAAUUCAGCAACUAAUCGUUCAAGUUCCCGAAUAUGAUAUCCGGCUAUCAGCAUCAAUAAUUUCUAACGGCUGCCGACCGAUGCUUUGAUAGCGGUCCCGAAUUAAUUCUUCAGACUAUAAUAUUGUGUGUGAGGCGGAUAUAAAACGUAAACAAAUGCAAAUAAUGGAACACAAGAGGACAGCAGAAUUCCAACGCCAGGCGCAUAGCACUCUCAAAUCUUUUCUUCUCUAAAGUGUUACCUGCUGCAAGUGAAAUGCAAGCCAAACUUGUAAAAAAACCACCGCUGUGAUUAACAUUUCGAAAACAGAGCUAGAACCUAAAGAAAAGGACAUCAUUUUGGCCAUCCUAAUAAUUUGGUCAUGAAAAACGAAGCUGGCGUUCUGAACAUAUCUCUAUGGAAACUGUAUUGGCAGAGUAAAAACUGGAAGCGGUCCAUGCAGCUCAGGAAGCUUCUAAAGCUGCGUUGGAAACCUCAUUUAACUAACGACCUAAUACGAAAGCGUUUUAGUUCACAGACGGCUCGAGCAAUACUAUCGCUCAUGAAAAUCCAACGAACAUUACUUAUCUUUUAUUGUAGAUUGUACCAGAUAAUC